rnacentral:rRNA from 1 species
GCUGGCGGGCGUGCCUAACACAUGUAAGUCGAACGGUAAGGUUUCUUCGGAGACACACGAGUGGCGCACGGGUGCGUAACGCGUAUGCAACCUACCUUUAACUGGGGAAUAGCCCCGAGAAAUCGGGAUUAAUACCCCAUAAGAUCCAGUUUCCGCAUGGGAAUUGGAUUAAAGCUCCGGCGGUUAAAGAUGGGCAUGCGUGGCAUUAGCUAGUUGGUGAGGUAAAGGCUCACCAAGGCAACGAUGCCUAGGGGUCCUGAGAGGGUUAACCCCCACACUGGUACUGAGACACGGACCAGACUCCUACGGGAGGCAGCAGUAAGGAAUAUUAGGCAAUGGACGCAAGUCUGACCCAGCCAUGCCGCGUGCAGAAUGACUGCCCUAUGGGUUGUAAACUGCUUUUGUACGGGAAAAAACCCUUCGAUUCGUUCGGAGGCUGAUGGUACCGUGCGAAUAAGCAUCGGCUAACUCCGUGCCAGCAGCCGCGGUAAUACGGAGGAUGCAAGCGUUAUCCGGAUUCAUUGGGUUUAAAGGGUGCGCAGGCGGAAUAGUAAGUCAGUGGUGAAAUCUUCCGGCUCAACCGGGAAACUGCCAUUGAUACUGCUGUUCUUGAGUACAGUUGAAGUGGGCGGAAUGUGUCAUGUAGCGGUGA